AAGUCCUUAGUAUAGUGGUAGUACACUUGACAUGGAGAUAAGAAAUGUGGGUUGGAUUCUCACAGGACACA